rnacentral:rRNA from 1 species
AGUGAACGCUGGCGGCAGGCCUAACACAUGCAAGUCGAACGGCAGCACAGGGGUAGCAAUACCCUGGGUGGCGAGUGGCGGACGGGUGAGGAAUACGUCGGAAUCUGCCUAUUUGUGGGGGAUAACGUAGGGAAACUUACGCUAAUACCGCAUACGACCUACGGGUGAAAGCGGAGGACCUUCGGGCUUCGCGCAGAUAGAUGAGCCGACGUCGGAUUAGCUAGUUGGCGGGGUAAAGGCCCACCAAGGCGACGAUCCGUAGCUGGUCUGAGAGGAUGAUCAGCCACACUGGAACUGAGACACGGUCCAGACUCCUACGGGAGGCAGCAGUGGGGAAUAUUGGACAAUGGGCGCAAGCCUGAUCCAGCCAUGCCGCGUGUGUGAAG